GGAGACGGUGUUCACGCAGAGAACUCUGGUCCGUGGACCAGAUCGUUAGAACCGCACCUGAGCCAGGGAUCAGAUCGUCGGAACCCUCGCCGUCCCUCCCUUCCACCCAAAACACGCUGUCUGAGCAGGUCCUUGCGGUGGCGCUCGUUCUACACCCAUGGUGACCGGAAUAAUGGAGGAUUCCAGGGUUGAGUUGCUCCAUGCCUGACAGGUUCCAUUACGAGAGGAGUUCGCUGACAACCUUGAGCAAGCAGAUCUGGUUUCUCUAGUCUUGUUGCCCAACAACGGAGCUGGCCUUGCCAUUCCUGAAGACUCGAAUGUUGGGUCUGGGUGCGCUCAGCAGCUGGCGAUGGGACUGAAAGGGCAGGAGCUGGCCGCCGUUGUCGCCCGGAUGCAUCUCUGACGAGGCCGGCGCAGUCGACUGAAAUAGUCAACCUAGAGGCACCAGACUAGACUAAAAAUGUGAUCCCAUAUCCUACAGAUGUUGGUCUGUAUAUUCAGCUUUGACUGCAUGUUCUUCUGCACAUCCAUGUUCUGUCUGAAAAAUGUUUUACUUUGCAAAAAUCGUUAGGAUGGAAGACCCUAUCAAGAAGUAAGCCAUGGCACUGCAGUCCAUGCUUGAUGCCUAGUUUAACAGUCAGAAGCACUUUCAACAUACUGUUAAUGUUGUUGAAGUAGAAGUGUAGAACUAAUAGACAACAAAAUUACUCUUGUAUUUGAACUCGUAGAGUGAAUAAUGAACGUCUGCAACAGGUCACGGCUGGGCAGUGCGCCACCAGACAGGACACCGUGUCCCUCUCGAAUGAGCGCUCUGGAGCAAUCAACUUGCAACGCAGAGGAACCUACAAAAGAUUUAGUACGUCUUACUCUUGACCCGAGUUUCAAUUCAUUGGGUGAGGCACACGACUUCUACAAUCUAUAUUCUUGGGAUGUCUUUGGUAUCAGAUAUGGUAAAAGAAGACUAAAUGCCGAGAGGACGAAAUGCAUGCAGGAGAUCGUAUGUGGUUGCUCGAGCAAACCAGAGGUAGAGAAUAGUAGGUCAUGCAGAUGCGAGUGUCCAGUGCUGAUUAGGCUGUUUCGCGCGGCGGACAACAACUGAUACAUCACAGAGCACCGUGAGAGCCGCAACCAUUCAAUGUCCUUAACAAUGGGUGAGUAGGUGCACUGGCCGUCGCACAAGCACAUCGACGCAUACACAAGAUUUGAUAAAGCAACCUAGGGAAAACAAUGUGAAACUUUGGAAGGUGUACAACAUAAUUGGGAGCUUCGUUGGUUCGGUCGAGAAGGUGCCCGUCAUGAAGAGGACCCUAAGAAACAUUUGCGGGAAGGUAAGCCGCGAAUCACAUGUUGAAGACAUACAUGCCUCCUUCAAGCCCAAUGCAUAUUUUUCUCAGGCAGUGCAUGAGGUUAAUUACAGUUUGACCAUGAGCGUGAGGAAAGCUACGAGGAGAAGAGGACGAUAAUUGGUGGAGCUAUCAGGAGGACCAAUUUGGUGAUAUAUAGAGCGGCAUGCAAGUAAACUUUACACCAGGGCUAUGUUUGAGGAGUUUUGGUCGCCUCCUAAUCAAAGGGACGUUGUACAAUGUCAAGGAAGGAGAGAAGAAGAGGAAAUAUGUUAAAAAGCACGACAAUGUAGCUAAAAGAGAAAAAUGGAGCAGAGUCGAGUACGAGGUGACCAUAAGUGAAGAUCAGUCAGAGUUUACGUGCGAGUCUGGCCAGUUCGAGCAUACUGGGAUGUUAUGCAACCAUGUCUUAAGGGUCAUGGAUAUACUUCAUCUGGAGAAGAUCCCUGCAAUGCAUAUACUCAAGUACUCAAGCGGUGGACCAAGGACGCGAGGGACAUACUUCCCCAACACCUGGUUCAGUAUCAGAAGGACAAUUCAGUUAACUUGUCGUUCACAUGCAGGAACUCGAUGCUCUAUCUGAAAGCCAUGGAAGUCGUGCGGAUAGGCGAUUCGAAUGCAGAAUCAUUCGAGCACAUGUUUGCUGGUCUGGAAGCUUUGUUGGUGAGUGGCACACCUUUAGCUGAGAAGAGGGAUGCUUGGGGUUUGAGCAUCGGAUAGCAGGUUUGGCCACUGGUAGACUUCCUGGCAAUGGAGUGGUUGCGUUUGUGGGGGGAGACGAUGCUGACAAAUGCAAAAGUGGUGGGAAAUCUGUUAGUGUGAAUGCCCUUGAAGGUCUAGCAACUCCAGAUAAGCAUAGUGGGGUCGGCAGACUGACUAAUAGCAGGGAGAAGGCGCCUUAUGAGGGUUAGAGUAGAUGUAGCAGGUUCUUCAACAUUUUUCGGCGUGAGGGGCACAAGCGAAUUACCUGCCCCGAAAGAGGAGAUGCCCCCAAGAAACCACGGAAGCCAGGGAUAUGCAAGAACUGCAGCAUGGAAGGGCAUCGCCGGAACACUUGCAUGAGGCUGCUCGGUGCUGCUGAGAAAUGAGUUCCGAAGUUUUAAUUUGUAAUCUGUAUUGUAGUACCUUUCAGGAUUUUCUAGUGUGUUUCAGUGAGCAUUGCUCCAUGCUUGUUCCUCA